rnacentral:rRNA from 1 species
AGUGCAUGUGGUGGAUGCCUUGGCGAUCACAGGCGAUGAAGGACGCGGUAGCCUGCGAAAAGCUACGGGGAGCUGGCAAACGAGCUUUGAUCCGUAGAUGUCCGAAUGGGGAAACCCACUCCUUAUGGAGUAUCCAUGGCUGAAUACAUAGGCCAUGUGAAGCGAACGCGGUGAACUGAAACAUCUAAGUAACCGCAGGAAAAGAAAUCAACCGAGAUUCCCAAAGUAGUGGCGAGCGAAAUGGGAUGAGCCUUGCACUCUUUAUUUGUAUUGUUAGCCGAACGCUCUGGAAAGUGCGGCCAUAGCAGGUGAUAGCCCUGUAGGCGAAAACAGUAUGAAAGAACUAGGUGUGCGACAAGUAGGGCGGGACACGUGAAAUCCUGUCUGAAGAUGGGGGGACCAUCCUCCAAGGCUAAAUACUCGUGAUCGACCGAUAGUGAACCAGUACCGUGAGGGAAAGGCGAAAAGAACCCCGGGAGGGGAGUGAAAUAGAUCCUGAAACCGCAUGCAUACAAACAGUCGGAGCCUCGUAAGGGGUGACGGCGUACCUUUUGUAUAAUGGGUCAGCGACUUACGUUCAGUAGCAAGCUUAACCGUAUAGGGCAGGCGUAGCGAAAGCGAGUCCGAAUAGGGCGUUCAGUUGCUGGGCGUAGACCCGAAACCAGGUGAUCUAUCCAUGGCCAGGAUGAAGGUGCGGUAACACGUACUGGAGGUCCGAACCCACUAACGUUGAAAAGUUAGGGGAUGAGCUGUGGAUAGGGGUGAAAGGCUAAACAAACCUGGAAAUAGCUGGUUCUCUCCGAAAACUAUUUAGGUAGUGCCUCGUGUCUCACCUUCGGGGGUAGAGCACUGUCAUGGUUGGGGGGUCUAUUGCAGAUUACCCCGCCAUAGCAAACUCCGAAUACCGAAGAGUGCAAUCACGGGAGACAGACAUCGGGUGCUAACGUCCGGUGUCAAGAGGGAAACAACCCAGACCGCCAGCUAAGGUCCCCAAAUAUGGCUAAGUGGGAAACGAAGUGGGAAGGCUAAAACAGUCAGGAGGUUGGCUUAGAAGCAGCCACCCUUUAAAGAAAGCGUAAUAGCUCACUGAUCGAGUCGUCCUGCGCGGAAGAUGUAACGGGGCUAAGCCAUAUACCGAAGCUGCGGAUGCGAGCUAGUCUCGCAUGGUAGGAGAGCGUUCCGUAAGCCUGCGAAGGUGCCUUGUAAAGGGUGCUGGAGGUAUCGGAAGUGCGAAUGCUGACAUGAGUAGCGAUAAAGGGGGUGAAAGGCCCCCUCGCCGUAAGCCCAAGGUUUCCUACGCAACGUUCAUCGGCGUAGGGUGAGUCGGCCCCUAAGGCGAGGCAGAAAUGCGUAGCUGAUGGGAAGCAGGUCAAUAUUCCUGCACCGUCGUUAGAUGCGAUGGGGGGACGGAUCGCGGAAGGUUGUCCGGGUGUUGGAAGUCCCGGUCGCUGCAUUGGAGAAGGCGCUUAGGCAAAUCCGGGCGCAGGAUUCAAGGGUGUGGCGCGAGCUCCCUCGGGAGCGAAGCAAUUGGAAGUGGUUCCAAGAAAAGCCUCUAAGCUUCAGUCUAACGAUGACCGUACCGCAAACCGACACAGGUGGGCGAGAUGAGUAUUCUAAGGCGCUUGAGAGAACUCGGGAGAAGGAACUCGGCAAAUUGGUACCGUAACUUCGGGAUAAGGUACGCCCUUGUAGCUUGACUGGCCUGCGCCAGGAGGGUGAAGGGGUUGCAAUAAACUGGUGGCUGCGACUGUUUAAUAAAAACACAGCACUCUGCAAACACGAAAGUGGACGUAUAGGGUGUGACGCCUGCCCGGUGCCGGAAGAUUAAAUGAUGGGGUGCAAGCUCUUGAUUGAAGUCCCGGUAAACGGCGGCCGUAACUAUAACGGUCCUAAGGUAGCGAAAUUCCUUGUCGGGUAAGUUCCGACCUGCACGAAUGGCGUAACGAUGGCCACACUGUCUCCUCCCGAGACUCAGCGAAGUUGAAGUGUUUGUGAUGAUGCAAUCUACCCGCGGCUAGACGGAAAGACCCCAUGAACCUUUACUGUAGCUUUGCAUUGGACUUUGAACCGAUCUGUGUAGGAUAGGUGGGAGGCUAUGAAACCGGAACGCCAGUUUCGGUGGAGCCGUCCUUGAAAUACCACCCUGGUUUGUUUGAGGUUCUAACCUUGGCCCGUGAUCCGGGUCGGGGACAGUGCAUGGUAGGCAGUUUGACUGGGGCGGUCUCCUCCCAAAGCGUAACGGAGGAGUACGAAGGUACGCUAGGUACGGUCGGAAAUCGUGCUGAUAGUGCAAUGGCAUAAGCGUGCUUAACUGCGAGACCGACAAGUCGAGCAGGUGCGAAAGCAGGUCAUAGUGAUCCGGUGGUUCUGUAUGGAAGGGCCAUCGCUCAACGGAUAAAAGGUACUCUGGGGAUAACAGGCUGAUACCGCCCAAGAGUUCAUAUCGACGGCGGUGUUUGGCACCUCGAUGUCGGCUCAUCUCAUCCUGGGGCUGUAGCCGGUCCCAAGGGUAUGGCUGUUCGCCAUUUAAAGAGGUACGUGAGCUGGGUUUAAAACGUCGUGAGACAGUUUGGUCCCUAUCUGCCGUGGGCGUUGGAUAUUUGAAGGGGGCUGCUCCUAGUACGAGAGGACCGGAGUGGACGAACCUCUGGUGUACCGGUUGUGACGCCAGUCGCAUCGCCGGGUAGCUAUGUUCGGAAGAGAUAACCGCUGAAAGCAUCUAAGCGGGAAACUCGCCUUAAGAUGAGAUAUCCCUGGAGGCUUGACCUCCUUGAAGGGUCGUUCGAGACCAGGACGUUGAUAGGUCGGGUGUGUAAGCGCAGUAAUGCGUUCAGCUAACCGAUACUAAUUGCCCGUAAGGCUUGAUC